rnacentral:rRNA from 1 species
CAGCUAGUUGGUGAGGUAACUGCUCACCAAGGCUACGAUAGGUAGGGGAUCUGAGAGGACUACCCCCCACACUGGUACUGAGACACGGACCAGACUCCUACGGGAGGCAGCAGUAAGGAAUAUUGGUCAAUGGAGGCAACUCUGAACCAGCCAUGCCGCGUGCAGGAAGAAGGCCCUAUGGGUCGUAAACUGCUUUUAUACGGGAGAAAACCACGGUACGUGUACCGUGUUGAUAGUACUGUAGGAAUAAGGAUCGGCUAACUUCGUGCCAGCAGCCGCGGUAAGACGAAGGAUCCAAGCGUUAUCCGGAUUCAUUGGGUUUAAAGGGUGCGUAGGCGGGUUUAUAAGUCAGUGGUGAAAUCUCUUUGCUUAACAAAGAAACUGCCAUUGAUACUGUAGACCUAAAGUAUAGAUGAUGUUGGCGGAAUAUGACAUGUAGC